GAUGAAGAACGUAGCGAAAUGCGAUAAGUAAUGUGAAUUGCAGAAUUCAGUGAAUCAUCGAAUCUUUGAACGCACAUUGCGCCCCCCAGUAUUCUGGCGGGCAUGCCUGUUCGAGCGUCAUUUCAACCAUCAAGCCCUGCUUGUGUUGGGGUCCUGCGGCUGCCCGCAGGCCCUGAAAACCAGUGGCGGGCUCGCUAGUCACACCGAGCGCAGUAGCACAUCUCGCUCAGCGCGUGCGGCGGGCUCCAGCCGUUAAAGCACCCACCUUUCGCAAGGUUGACCUCGGAUCAGGUAGGAAUACCCGCUGAACUUAAGCAUAUCAAUAAGCGGAGGA
rnacentral:misc_RNA from 1 species